rnacentral:rRNA from 1 species
AUUGAACGCUGGCGGCAGGCCUAACACAUGCAAGUCGAACGAGUGGCGGACGGGUGAGUAAUGUCUGGGAAACUGCCUGAUGGAGGGGGAUAACUACUGGAAACGGUAGCUAAUACCGCAUACCAUCAGAUGUGCCCAGAUGGGAAUGGCUUGUUGGUGGGGUAACGGCGCACCAAGGCGACGAUCCCUAGCUGGUCUGAGAGGAUGACCCGCCACAUGGGAACUGAGACACGGUCCAGAUUCCUACGGGAGGCAGCAGUGGGGAAGAUUGCACAAUGGGCGAAAGCCUGAUGCAGCCAUGCCGCGUGAAUGAAGAAGGCCUUCGGGUUGUAAAGUACUUUCAUCGGGGAGGCGUUACCCGCACAAGAAGCACCGGCUAACUCCGUGCCAGCAGCCGCGGUAAUUC